rnacentral:rRNA from 1 species
AUUGAACGCUGGCGGCAUGCUUUACACAUGCAAGUCGAACGGUAACAGGCCGCAAGGUGCUGACGAGUGGCGAACGGGUGAGUAAUGCAUCGGAACGUGCCCAGUCGUGGGGGAUAACUACUCGAAAGAGUAGCUAAUACCGCAUACGAUCUAUGGAUGAACGCGGGGGACCGUAAGGCCUCGCGCGAUUGGAGCGGCCGAUGUCAGAUUAGGUAGUUGGUGGGGUAAAGGCUCACCAAGCCAACGAUCUGUAGCUGGUCUGAGAGGACGACCAGCCACACGGGGACUGAGACACGGCCCAGACUCCUACGGGAGGCAGCAGUGGGGAAUUUUGGACAAUGGGCGCAAGCCUGAUCCAGCAAUGCCGCGUGCAGGAAGAAGGCCUUCGGGUUGUAAACUGCUUUUGUACGGAACGAAACGGCUCUGGUUAAUACCCGGGGCUAAUGACGGUACCGUAAGAAUAAGCACCGGCUAACUACGUG